CUGGCCUUGGCUAGGUAACUGGACACCCUCUCCAAUCCUCAGGGCUCGGAAGAUCCAGACCGACGCAGUGAGAUUUCCCUAAGUGAGCCGUUGGUUGGAAAUGAAAUCAUGAGCUUGCAUAGGAUUAGACGAAAUCAGCAGCACUUGAUGAUCUAUCAGAUGUGGGAGAAGCAUGCACAGAAAAGGUCGAAUCAAAUCCUACAAUUAUAUUUGAGACGGAACCAAAGUGGGAUAACCAACCAGGAGUGUGUGCCUUUGCUUGUGGCAGAAAAUCCCUAAGAAGGUGGGCACUCUCAGAAUGGCAGUGUGGCCCCUUUGCGCAUGCUCAGAGGCACAUCCUAGGCCAAGGUGGGGCUUCACCUUCACUGCCUUCUGUCUGGGGAGGACUUCAGGUGGUUGUUCAGAUCCUAGUGCUUGGAAGAGUCUCAGACGUCCUUGGUAGCUUCCAUCGUGAAGGGGUUACCUCAAGCUGGAAGAAUAGGUCCUGUCUGCUUUUUCUCUCGAGCCCUCACCCCCUCCUGUCCCAUCCACCAGGCCCCGCAAGGCUAUGGCAGGUGAGACAGCAAGAACUGCCACGCAGAAUGCAGUACGUGGAGGGAAAGCCACUUGUCAGACUCUCUUCCUCUGCAGAAAGCUGGGGGCCCAUCAUGGGCCGAAUUGUGCACCCCAGUUCACAUGUUAAAGCCCUGUCCCCAGUACCUCAGAAUGUGACUGUAUUGGGAGAAAGGACAUUUAAAGAGGUGAUUAAGGUUAAACGGGGUCAUCAGGGUGGACCCUGAUUCCAGAGGACUGGGAGAGCCACCAGGGAUGCGAAGGCACAGAGGAAAGGCCAGGUGAGGACGCCGAGAGAAGACACCGUGUGCAAGCCAAGGAGUAGCCCUCGGGACAAACCAGACUUGCCGACACUUUGAUCUUGGAUUUCCAGCCUCUAGAACCGUGAGGAACGAAUGUCUGGUUAAGGGCCCCAGCCUGUGUACUUUGUUGGGGCAGCCCUAGCUGACUGAAAUAUAGGGCCGCUCUCUCCUCCUGGCCUGGCUGUCUCCUCACACCCAGAGCCACAGGAGGAGCCUGGGGAUCCAGUGCAACACAAGAAGGAAGGACAGAGAGGGGGUC